AAAUUUUAAAGGGGCACCCAGCUGGCUCAGAGGAGCACACGACUCUUAAUCUCGAGGUUGUGACUUCGAGCCCCACGUUGGGUGUAGAGAUGACUUAAAUAUAAAAUCUUUUAAAAAAUUCAUUAAUUGGGGCGCCUGGGUGGCUCAGUCGG